GGAAGGGUGGCCGAGUGGUUUAAGGCGCCGGUCUUGAAAACCGGUUCCCGAUAUUAUCGGGACGUGGGUUCGAAUCCCACCCCUUCCG
rnacentral:tRNA from 1 species